rnacentral:rRNA from 1 species
GACGAACGCUGGCGGCGUGCCUAAUACAUGCAAGUAGAACGCACAGUUUAUACCGUAGCUUGCUACACCAUAAACUGUGAGUUGCGAACGGGUGAGUAACGCGUAGGUAACCUGCCUGGUAGCGGGGGUUAACUAUUGGAAACGAUAGCUAAUACCGCAUAAUAUUAAUUAUUGCAUGAUAAUUGAUUGAAAGAUGCAAUUGCAUCACUACCAGAUGGACCUGCGUUGUAUUAGCUAGUAGGUGAGGUAACGGCUCACCUAGGCGACGAUACAUAGCCGACCUGAGAGGGUGAUCGGCCACACUGGGACUGAGACACGGCCCAGACUCCUACGGGAGGCAGCAGUAGGGAAUCUUCGGCAAUGGACGAAAGUCUGACCGAGCAACGCCGCGUGAGUGAAGAAGGUUUUCGGAUCGUAAAGCUCUGUUGUAAGAGAAGAACGGGUGUGAGAGUGGAAAGUUCACACUGUGACGGUAUCUUACCAGAAAGGGACGGCUAACUACGUG